UGCAAGUCGAGCGAAUGGAUUAAGAGCUUGCUCUUAUGAAGUUAGCGGCGGACGGGUGAGUAACACGUGGGUAACCUGCCCAUAAGACUGGGAUAACUCCGGGAAACCGGGGCUAAUACCGGAUAACAUUUUGAACCGCAUGGUUCGAAAUUGAAAGGCGGCUUCGGCUGUCACUUAUGGAUGGACCCGCGUCGCAUUAGCUAGUUGGUGAGGUAACGGCUCACCAAGGCAACGAUGCCGUAGCCGACCUGAGAGGGUGAUCGGCCACACUGGGACUGAGACACGGCCCAGACUCCUACGGGAGGCAGCAGUAGGGAAUCUUCCGCAAUGGACGAAAGUCUGACGGAGCAACGCCGCGUGAGUGAUGAAGGCUUUCGGGUCGUAAAACUCUGUUGUUAGGGAAGAACAAGUGCUAGUUGAAUAAGCUGGCACCUUGACGGUACCUAACCAGAAAGCCACGGCUAACUACGUGCCAGCAGCCGCGGUAAUACCGUAGGUGGCAAGCGUUAUCCGGAAUUAUUGGGCGUAAAGCGCGCGCAGGUGGUUUCUUAAGUCUGAUGUGAAAGCCCACGGCUCAACCGUGGAGGGUCAUUGGNAACUGGGAGACUUGAGUGCANAAAANGNAAGUGGAAUUCCAUGUGUAGCGGUGAAAUGCGUAGAGAUAUGGAGGAACACCAGUGGCGAAGCGACUUUCUGGUCUGUAACUGACACUGAGGCCGAAGCGAGGGGAGCAAACAGGAUUAGAUACCCUGGUAGUCCACCCCAGAAACGA
rnacentral:rRNA from 1 species